UUCUUCAGAAAUUCUCCUUUUGUGUUUCACAGAAGAAACAAUCGGGUUUGGAAUGACAUGAGGAUGAGUAAAUGAGACAGAAUAUUAAUUUUUGGGUGACCUAUUCGUGAACAAGUAGAACCAGGUCUGCAAAUCUGAAAUGAACUUGUAAUGGAGGCCAAAUCCAGCGUUUCCUCAGAGGCUGGAGUGUGUGACAGCAGCUACAGAGGACACGCUGUGAAACUCAGGCGAUGACAGGCACAGAUCACCUCUAAAAAUACCCUUCACUCAGGAAACGGCACAUCACAAACGCGUACACCAUCAGGGAACAUCCGUGGCCCAAUUUGACACCAUCUCUGUUUACCGUUCACCACCACAUCCUGGAGUCCUGUAAAAUGCAAGUUGUAAACAUUUAGGUCUUUUUUGUUUUACAUGUCGCUGUUUGUUGAAACGUGAUUUGACUAAACCUGCUCGUCUGACUCCUGUGUUUCAUUAAUGGCAUCAGCUCAGGGUGUGUUUCUCGUCUGUGAGGAUCUCUGCAUGGAUGGACCUGCGGGUUUGAUCUGCAUGGAUCAGCCACAUACUGUUUGACAUCAUGUGACACCUGCUGAACACUGACACACUGAAACAGACAGCACAGUUUUUCUUGAUGUUAGCUGUUGGGACGGCUUUGAUAGAGGAAGGGUGGGCUGUCACUGGGAGUUUGGAGUGUGUUCGGUGACGAGGAACAUAACAAAGUUAUUUCUAUAGACAGGACAGUGAAGAGAAUGCCUGAGGAGCGAACACGCAUGCACACACACGCACAAGCAGAGAGUCGCCGAGUGCUGCGGGGACUGAUGUCCCCAGACGCUCCACAUGGACACAGUAAGGAAGAGGUCAUGGCUAUAUUCAGCAAGGUCAUCAAAGAGCCUGGAGAAUCAAAGCAGGGGGGAAGAACAAAACCCACCACACACAGAUCAGAGGGCUGUGUUCUCCAGGACAGAGAGGGGUCUUCUGGGUACUGGCUGAACUGACAACCCCUGGAGCAGCUACGCGACGCUCUGCACAAAUUAAACUGACAGCAGUUUUCUCCACAGAAACUAUAAAGUCCUGACAAGCAUAAAAUUGUGUUAUGUACAGUUAUUUGCCUAGGCUGUUGUUUAUACUGAGAAAAAACACUCUUAUAUGUUUUCAGUGGUGUUUACUCAUACUAAAAUACUCUGACAGUGUCAUUCAGCAGUGACAUGACACCGCUUCUAAAUCAACAGCAUGAAAUAGAGAGCGUAGUGUAGUUUGAUUCCUGAAUGAACAACUCUGGUUCUUAAUGAAUCAAAAAAUUGUAGUGUGACCAGUAUAGUCUGAUUCCGAAUGAAUAUAUCUUUAGAGACUGUUUUUAAAUCAAAAAUAUACAGUGCGACCUGUCUAGUCCUGAUCCUGAAUGAAAUGACUCUUAUGAGUUGACUCGUUUUAGUGAAUCACAUACUUAGAAUCCAGCCAGUACAGUUCAAUUCCCGAACAAAUCCCUCUUAUGAACCAGUACUUUUUAGCGAUUUAAAAAGAUGCAGCACAGCUAGUCCAAUUCUGAAAAAAAUCCAUCUUUUUUGAGCCUGUUUUGUGAAUCAGAAAUAUACAGCACAAAAGCAGUAUAGUCUGGAACCCGAAUGAAAUGACUCUUAUGGGUUUAGUGAAUCAUGUACUUAUAGCACCACCAGUGUAGUUUUAAUUUAUGAAUCACUCUUAUGAACUGGUUCUUUUUAGUGAUGCUGCAGAGUCCGACUCCCAAACGAACAACUCUUAUGAUUCAAUUCUUUUUAAUGAAUCAAACACAUUUAGCAUGGCCAGUGUAAUUAAAUUUUGAAGGAACCAGUCUUCUGAGCCAGUUUUGUAAAUCACAAAUAAACAGUGUGACCAGUGUAGACCA
ensembl:lncRNA